rnacentral:rRNA from 1 species
GGGGACCCGCACAAGCAGCGGAGCGUGUGGUUUAAUUCGUUGCUACACGAAGAACCUUACCUGGGUUUGACAUAUAGGUUGUAGGGAACUGAAAAGGGACGACCCUUCGGGAGCCUAUACAGGUGUUGCAUGGCUGUCGUCAGCUCGUGUCGUGAGAUGUUCGGUUAAGUCCGCUAACGAGCGCAACCCUCGUCGUAUGUUAUAUGUGUCAUACGAGACUGCCGGUAAAAAGCCGGAGGAAGGUGAGGAUGAUGUCAAGUCAGCAUGACCUUUAUAUCCAGGGCUACACACACGCUACAAUGGUCUGUACAAUGGGUAGCCAAGCCGCGAGGCGGAGCCAAUCCUGAAAGCAGGCCUCAGUUCAGAUUGCAGUCUGCAACUCGACUGCAUGAAGCCGGAGUUGCUAGUAACCGCAGGUCAGCAAUACUGCGGUGAAUACGUUCCCGGGUCUU